UACGGAGGAUCCGAGCGUUAUCCGGAUUUAUUGGGUUUAAAGGGUGCGCAGGCGGGAGAUUAAGUCGGCGGUGAAAUUUUGUAGCUCAACUGUAAAAGUGCCUUCGAAACUGGUUUCCUUGAGUGUAGAUGAAGUAGGCGGAAUUUGUGGUGUAGCGGUGAAAUGCAUAGAUAUCACGAGGAACUCCGAUUGCGCAGGCAGCUUACUAAACUACUACUGACGCUCAGGCACGAAGGCGUGGGGAUCAAACAGGAUUAGAUACCCCCGUAGUCCCU
rnacentral:rRNA from 1 species